rnacentral:rRNA from 1 species
CCUACGGGUGGCAGCAGUGAGGAAUAUUGGUCAAUGGGCGCGAGCCUGAACCAGCCAAGCCGCGUGCGGGAAGACGGUCCUAUGGAUUGUAAACUUCUUUUGUACGGGGGCAAAAGCCGCAACGCGUGGCGUUUCGAGAGUACCCGAGGAAAAAGCAUCGGCUAACUCCGUGCCAGCAGCCGCGGUAAUACGGAGGAUGCAAGCUUUAUCCGGAUUUAUGGGGUUUAAAGGGUGCGCAGGGGGUCGAUCAAGUCGGCGGUAAAAUUCAGGGGCCAAACCCCGUCGAGCCGUUGAUACUGGCGGGCUUGAGUGUAGGUGAGGUAUGCGGAAUGUAUGGUGUAGCGGUGAAAUGCAUAGAGAUCACACAGAACUCCGAUUGCGAAGGCAGCAUACCGACGUCCGACUGACGCUGAGGCACGAAAGCGUGGGUAGCAAACAGGAUUAGAUACCCCAGUAGUC